UUAUAUAGAGGCAAUAUGAUAUUUUCUGUCUUAUUAUCUAUCCCUUUCUUAAUGAUUCCCAACAUUCUGUUUGCUUUUUUGACUGCCGCUGCACAUUGAGUGGAUGAUUUCAGAGAACGAGAACCGGAGGAAAGCAUCCUGAACUGAGAAGGCAAAAGAGGCCAUGUCACUGCCUGCACUGCUGUAACCCAAUGUGGACCAGAGAAGCCUCUGAGGAACUUGGGAGAGCUCUAACCAAGCGAGGCGAGUGGGCAGCAUUGACAAAUGCAAGGCUGCCAUGCCUGCAGGCCUCCCCCUGAAGCUGAUCUCUGAGUAACUCUUCUGCAGAGGAUUGACCACCGAUGUACAAAGGCGGAACUGCGCUGUGCAGCUUAUCUACAUGCACCCACAGCAGCUGUCACUUUUGUCGAGCAAGUUAAUCAAGCAAAUGCCACCAUAUCCCACUUUCUAUAAGGAACAACAUGUUAUAGACAGUAGUCUUGGGAGAGAGAGAGAGAGGGAGGGAGAGAGACUUUAUUUUAACUUUGAUUAGCUCGAAUUUUUUUCUGUGUGUGUGUGUGUGCGCGUUUUCAACCAACUGCACAAGCCAACACUUUUGUCUUCACCCAGUACAAAUAUUUAAUAUUAUUUUAAGUGUAAUUUGCACUAUUGGGAGGGCUGUCCAGUUUUAAUUAAAUUGAAAGGACUUAGGGACAGGGUUCAAGAAAAAGAGAAAUGGAAGCUUUGUGUGUGUGUUAA